rfam:Cryptococcus neoformans var. neoformans JEC21 chromosome 5, complete sequence.
GGCGACAUAGCUCAGUUGGGAGAGCGCACGACUGAAGUUCCGAAACUCGAGAUUCAAUCGUGCGGUCCCUGGUUCGAUCCCGGGUGGCGCCA